CCUACGGGCGGCAGCAGUGAGGAAUAUUGGUCAAUGGCCGGAAGGCUGAACCAGCCAAGCCGCGUGAAGGACGAAGGUCCCAAGCAUUGUAAACUUCUUUUGUCAAGGGACAACAUCAGGCUCGAGAGCCUGACCGAGGGUACUUGAAGAAAAAGCAUCGGCUAACUCCGUGCCAGCAGCCGCGGUAAUACGGAGGAUCCGAGCGUUUUCCGGGUUUAUUGGGUUUAAAGGGUGCGUAGGUGGGAUGUUAAGUCAGUUGUGAAAGUUUGCGGCUCAACCGUAACAAUGCAAGUGAUACUGGAAGUCUUGAGUACAGGUGAGGUAGGCGGAAUUCGUGGUGUAGCGGUGAAAUGCAUAGAUAUCACGAAGAACUCCGAUUGCGAAGGCAGCUUACUAGACUACCACUGACGUUGAUGCUCGAAAGUGUGGGUAUCGAACAGGAUUAGAUACCCCUGUAGUC
rnacentral:rRNA from 1 species